UACGUAGGGCGCAAGCGUUAUCCGGAAUUAUUGGGCGUAAAGAGCUCGUAGGCGGUUUGUCGCGUCUGCUGUGAAAGACCGGGGCUCAACUCCGGUUCUGCAGUGGGUACGGGCAGACUAGAGUUCGGUAGGGGAGAUCGAAUUCCUGGUGUAGCGGUGAAAUGCGCAGAUAUCAGGAGGAACACCGGUGGCGAAGGCGGAUCUCUGGGCCGAUACUGACGCUGAGGAGCGAAAGCGUGGGGAGCGAACAGG
rnacentral:rRNA from 1 species